rnacentral:lncRNA from 1 species
AGGAGUAGAGUAGUUAUUCCAUGUUUCUUUGUUACUCUAUUUAGCUGUUCUGCAUAUCCGGUAUCAUGUUUAGAGUAGAGCAUCUUCGUGACUUUCAUUGUUUGAUGACCGUUGAGGUCGGUAUACCCUGAUGGGUGAGAUUGUCGGUUAAUGGCCGACGGAUGAUUAUAGUUUUCACAUAUCCGUCAUUUGACCCUUUGUGACCUAGUCUGUCAGUUCUGGAUUCUUGUCGUUUGAUGACCCACGAGGUCGGUGUACCCUGAGGGGUAGGAUUGUCAGCUAGUGGCUGACGGCAGUUCCAGAUUAUAGUGAUACAUUCCUGUGACUUAUUGGUUGAUUCUUGCAUCUAUACUUUAGUUGAUCCAUCGAGCAGUAUUUCCAUACUUUUGAGAGGAUGUUGAGUCGAUUCGUUGUGCAUAUAUCCUAGUUGACCUGAGUGGUCAGUCCUUGUGGUUCAUUGAGCAGUACUUGCAUAUGUUUGAGAGGAUGUCGAUGUUGUCCCAUCCUAGUUGACCUGAGUGGUCGGUUCUUGUGCUUCCUUACAGUUGGAUGACCUUUUGGUCGGUUAGCCCCGAGGGGCGGUGAUUGUCGGCUGAUUGCCGACGGUUGGCUAUUGAUCAUAUCCGCAUUGAUCGCCACAGCUCGAGUGCAUUUCACGUACACCAGCGGGUUGAUCCCCCGCAGGAGGGUGUUCUUUUCCGGAAAAGUGGUCGUACAUCCGACCCGUGAGCCCAGCGGUGUUCUCUUUGUGCUAGGGUUACAUGCCAGGUGUGAGCAGGUAGUGGCUUUUGCCUGAGGUCCUUAGACCGACACG